rnacentral:lncRNA from 13 species
CAGGAGUCAGCGUCCGAGGGAGCAAGUGAGGGAGAGAUAGCCAUGAUGGGAAUGCAGGCCGGCUACAUUUGGGUGCCAGAGUGAUGAACGGGGGCUCGCAGAACCGUGGACAGAGGACCGUGUUGUAGGGCAUCGAAGCUCCCUUCUGGAAGCUGGAGGCUGCGUCUAAGGCAAGGAAACGAGUCAGGAAGUCCUGGGCCUGGAGAGUUACUGUGCGUGCAAAGACUGCGGCUUUGGAGGUCAGAAUUCCUGAUGUUGAUUCCCAGAUCUGUUCUUCCCAGCAGAUGGCUUUGGGUGGAGAAGAUGGCCAGGAGGUCCCUCCAGGCAGCCAGAUCAGUCAAAGCAAAGCUGUAAGGGACAUCACCAAAGGAGGUCUUCAACACAGCAUGACAAGGAGAGACACCAGCAAGGAGGCAGCUGCAGGGCUGAGGAAUCUUCUCCCUGAUUGUUCUCGGCCGGGAGAACCGAGCUCCUGCAGCCGUGAGGACACGCUGCUAUUUUAAGCAACCUGCCAACAGCCUACCUGCCUCCCCCGCUGCUGCCUUGACAUGCUGCUCCUGACAGCAAGCCCGGUGUCACCCCAGCAGACAGCGCUGGGCGGCUGGAUGCAGACACACUCCCAGGCAGGUGACAGCUGUGGGCACCCUGAGCUCCUGUCCCACCCUUGGCAUCCAGCC